rnacentral:rRNA from 1 species
UACAUGUGGGGCAAGCGUUGUUCGGAAUUACUGGGCAUAAAGGGUGCGUAGGUGGCUUGUUAAGUCAGGGGUGAAAGUUUUCGGCCCAACCGGAAAAUGGCCUUUGAUACUGGCGAGCUCGAGUGCGUGAGGGGUAACCGGAACGAGCAGUGUAGCGGUGAAAUGCGUAGAUAUUGCUUGGAAGGCCAACGGCGAAGGCAGGUUACUGGUACGCAACUGACACUGAGGCACGAAAGCGUGGGGAGCAAACAGG